GGAGUCGAAUGAUUGCAUCAAGGGGUCCCAAACUGAUGAAGAACUUGCUUAUGACCGUGGUAUUGAAGAAAUUGAGGAUAGUUGUGGUAGAAUACCUAUUGAAAAAGCGUAUGACGUUGUACCUGAACAUAAAGAGUUGGAUGAGAAUCUCAUCUCUGGGAUUCAAGAACUUAAAGAGCUGGAUGUGAACCUCAUUUCUGGGAUUAAAUUUUCAAACGGAAGAUUGGAUACUAGUACAGUGGAAAAAAUAUUUCGUGAUAGAAUGAUGAGAUCACUCGAUAGUAUAGAGAUACUUAAUAUAAAACACUGCAAUGACACUUUAAU
rnacentral:lncRNA from 1 species